UAACUCCGUGCCAGCAGCCGCGGUAAUACGGAGGAUGCGAGCGUUAUCCGGAUUUAUUGGGUUUAAAGGGUGCGUAGGCGGCCUGUUAAGUCAGCGGUGAAAUCUAGGAGCUUAACUCCUAAAUUGCCAUUGAUACUGGCGGGCUUGAGUGUAGAUGAGGUAGGCGGAAUGCGUGGUGUAGCGGUGGAAUGCAUAGAUAUCACGCAGAACUCCGAUUGCGAAGGCAGCUUACUAAGGUACAACUGACGCUGAAGCACGAAAGCGUGGGUAUCAAACAGGAUUAGAUACCCUGGUAGUCCACGCAGUAAACGAUGAUAACUGGGCGUAUGCGAUAUACAGUAUGCUCCUAAGCGAAAGCGUUAAGUUAUCCACCUGGGGAGUACGCCGGCAACGGUGAAACUCAAAGGAAUUGACGGGGGCCCGCACAAGCGGAGGAACAUGUGGUUUAAUUCGAUGAUACGCGAGGAACCUUACCCGGGAUUGAAAUGUAGAUGACCGCUCCUGAAAGGGAGUUUUCCUUCGGGACAUCUAUGUAGGUGCUGCAUGGUUGUCGUCAGCUCGUGCCGUGAGGUGUCGGCUUAAGUGCCAUAACGAGCGCAACCCCUGUCUACGGUUGCCAUCAGGUAAUGCUGGGAACUCCGUAGAGACUGCCGUCGUAAGGCGUGAGGAAGGUGGGGAUGACGUCAAAUCAGCACGGCCCUUACAUCCGGGGCGACACACGUGUUACAAUGGUAAGGACAAAGGGCAGCUACCUGGCGACAGGAUGCGAAUCUCUAAACCUUAUCACAGUUCGGAUCGGAGUCUGCAACUCGACUCCGUGAAGCUGGAUUCGCUAGUAAUCGCGCAUCAGCCAUGGCGCGGUGAAUACGUUCCCGGGCCUUGUACACACCGCCCGUCAAGCCAUGGGAGUCUGGAGUACCUAAAGUCCGUAACCGCGAGGGUCGGCCUAGGGUAAUACAGGUGACUGGGGCUAAGUCGUAACAAGGUAGCCGUACCGGAAGGUGCGGCUG
rnacentral:rRNA from 1 species